UACGAAGGGGGCUAGCGUUGUUCGGAAUUACUGGGCGUAAAGCGCGCGCAGGCGGUCUUCCAAGUCAGUGGUGAAAGCCCGGAGCUCAACUCCGGAACUGCCAUUGAAACUGUUAGACUUGAGGAUGAGAGAGGUGAGUGGAAUUCCCAGUGUAGAGGUGAAAUUCGUAGAUAUUGGGAAGAACACCAGUGGCGAAGGCGGCUCACUGGUCCGGUACUGACGCUGAGGUGCGAAAGCGUGGGGAGCAAACAGG
rnacentral:rRNA from 1 species